GGGGAUGCGUGUUUGGCGCUGCCUGCUCCGCGGUGGUAUGCUCCGUAUUGAUUGAUGUAGUCAGGCAGCUACAGUCAACGUAGAGUGAUGGUUGAUGAAUUACAUUCCUCGUUUUGCGAGGGAAGCAUAUUGCUGCUCAUGAAAUCCGUGUCUCUUCGCCACCUCGGCUCGGAAUCCAAUUUGCACUUGUACCUGCAGUCUCAGUUGUUUGAUAUUUUUUUAUUUUCUCAUUCACUGUUCCUCGGGAUUGACAUGAAGGGAGGGGAAAUAAGAAUUUGGGAAGUCGAAGUCAUCGCCCUCCAGUAGCAAAUCUUAUUACACUGAGGAACUACUUUUUCUAUCACCUGAACAAAGUGCUUUUGUGACGUGACCUAGAAGGCGACGUGUGUUCUCAUCACCUCGUAGUCGCUCAAUGUCCUCGUGACGGGACUUGUUUUCUUUCCACGUUGCUUUAGACGCGAGGGCUCAUCCUGGACAAUGGAUGACCUACGGGCACCCCUAUGACGAGAGGAAGGAGGUGUGGAACCCCAAGUUCUGCAUGAUCACCGACGGCCAGAUCCUGCUGCUGGACAAGGAAGAGGAGAGGCAGUAUGACUCCUGCAAGGUCCGACUCCUGAGACGCACCAUAAGUGUCCCCGUGGAAACACAAUUCCCAGAGUUCCACAGCCAGCUGUCCACAGAAAGCGAGGCAGAGCACACAAAGUUUGAACACAAAUGGAAUGUUUCAGCUGGAGUAUUGGUUGCUGAAUCAGCAGGAACAGAGAGGCAGGACAGAGUUGUGGAUGAUUGGAAAUGGCGUUUCGUCAGGAUAGAAACAGUCCCAGUGGAUUUGUGCUUAUCAAAAUACUGUGCUGGAAACGCUCUGUAAAUACAUUGAGUAGCCCAUAUUUACUGUCUACGAUUAUUGCAAAUCCAUUUUUGUUGAAACUGUUUUUAAAGUCAACAUUACUACAAAAUGUCGAACAGAACCAAUAGACUACAACAACUACGAGAACAAUAAAUAAUAUUUUCUCUGUUUUUUGAUACCAUACUAAUACUGGGGCAUGCUAGUCAAUAAAUAAUCAAUAAAGACUUAAAUAAAUACAUUUUUGUGUGUCUGCGCAUUAGUGUGUAAUGUGUCAAUCCUUAAGUGUGUGCUUCUGUUUUUGCAUCACUUGGUCUUAUUGUCUCUUUGUGGCCCUACCUGUGGCCCUCUCUCUGUGAUCACCCCUGACUCCUGCUCCGGGACUGAGUCUGUAGAAGGGGAACCUGAGAAGUUCAGAGCUGUGCUGUCACGUUAAACACAAUAAUGAGUGGUGGAGGAUAACUAUCUCCCUCACCCUUCUCUUGCCUUCUCUGCCUGACUCAUUCAGAGACCACCCCCGUCUUGGCACUGGGCUCUAACUUGACUAUCUCUCUGUCUGUUGAUUUGGGAGAUUUGUUUGUUGGAUAUAUACACCCAUGUUGGUCAGCUUAUCACCUCAUUGGAAUGGUUUGAAGUGAAA
rnacentral:lncRNA from 1 species